UACGGAGGAUGCGAGCGUUAUCCGGAUUCAUUGGGUUUAAAGGGUGCGUAGGCGGUUUUUUAAGUCAGUGGUGAAAUCCUGCGGCUCAACCGUAGAACUGCCAUUGAUACUGAGAAACUUGAAUAUAGUUGAGGUAGGCGGAAUGAGUAGUGUAGCGGUGAAAUGCUUAGAUAUUACUCAGAACACCGAUUGCGAAGGCAGCUUGCUAAGCUAUAAUUGACGCUGAUGCACGAAAGCGUGGGGAUCAAACAGG
rnacentral:rRNA from 1 species